UGGGGAAUAUUGCACAAUGGGGGAAACCCUGAUGCAGCAACGCCGCGUGAGUGAUGAAGGCCUUCGGGUUGUAAAGCUCUGUCUUUGGGGACGAUUAUGACGGUACCCAAGGCGGAAGCCACGGCUAACUACGUGCCAGCAGCCGCGGUAAUACGUAGGUGGCAAGCGUUGUCCGGAUUUACUGGGCGUAAAGGAUGCGUAGGCGGAUAUUUAAGUGAGAUGUGAAAUACCCGGGCUCAACUUGGGUGCUGCAUUUCAAACUGGAUAUCUAGAGUGCAGGAGAGGAAAGUGGAAUUCCUAGUGUAGCGGUGAAAUGCGUAGAGAUUAGGAAGAACACCAGUGGCGAAGGCGACUUUCUGGACCGUAACUGACGCUGAGGCAUGAAAGCGUGGGGAGCAAACA
rnacentral:rRNA from 1 species